AGACUCAAUAGGUUUGGGGGUGCAGUGGGUGAGGCCAAAGGAUGUCAACUGUCUAAUGUGAAGACGGAAGGGACAAAGCAUUGGGAACAAGGUUGCUAGCUUUGGUGGCUCAAAUAUUGAUCUGUCUGCCUGGGAGGACAAGAAGAACCCUAGUGAAUCUCGCUUUCCUACUCAGGUUGUCCAACGAUUCCAAGAGUUGUUUGCUCAAACCAAGUAUAAAGAGGCUGCUUGCUGCAGAAUCCCCAC